rnacentral:rRNA from 1 species
GACGAACGCUGGCGGCGUGCCUAAUACAUGCAAGUAGAACGCUGAAGGAGGAGCUUGCUUCUCCGGAUGAGUUGCGAACGGGUGAGUAACGCGUAGGUAACCUGCCUGGUAGCGGGGGAUAACUAUUGGAAACGAUAGCUAAUACCGCAUAACAGUAGAUAUCGCAUGAUAUCUGCUUGAAAGGUGCAAUUGCAUCACUACCAGAUGGACCUGCGUUGUAUUAGCUAGUUGGUGAGGUAACGGCUCACCAAGGCGACGAUACAUAGCCGACCUGAGAGGGGGAUCGGCCACACUGGGACUGAGACACGGCCCAGACUCCUACGGGAGGCAGCAGUAGGGAAUCUUCGGCAAUGGACGGAAGUCUGACCGAGCAACGCCGCGGGAGUGAAGAAGGUUUUCGGAUCGUAAAGCUCUGUUGUAAGAGAAGAACGAGUGUGAGAGUGGAAAGUUCACACUGUGACGGUAUCUUACCAGAAAGGGACGGCUAACUACGUG